UGCCAGCAGCCGCGGUAAUACGGGAGGGGCAAGCGUUAUCCGAAAUUACUGGGCUUAAAGAGUUCGUAGGUGGUUAAAAAAGUUGGUGGUGAAAUCCCAGAGCUUAACUCUGGAACUGCCAUCAAAACUUUUUAGCUAGAGUAUGAUAGAGGAAAGCAGAAUUUCUAGUGUAGAGGUGAAAUUCGUAGAUAUUAGAAAGAAUACCAAUUGCGAAGGCAGCUUUCUGGAUCAUUACUGACACUGAGGAACGAAAGCAAGGGUAGCGAAAGGGAUUAGAUA
rnacentral:rRNA from 1 species